rnacentral:misc_RNA from 1 species
GAUGAAGAACGUAGCGAACUGCGAUAAGUAAUGUGAAUUGCAGAAUUCAGUGAAUCAUCGAGUCUUUGAACGCACAUUGCGCCCCCUGGCAUUCCGGGGGGAUGCCUGUCCGAGCGUCAUUGCUGCCCUUCAAGCCCGGCUUGUGUGUUGGGUCGUCGUCCCCCCCGGGGGACGGGCCCGAAAGGCAGCGGCGGCACCGCGUCCGGUCCUCGAGCGUAUGGGGCUUUGUCACCCGCUCGAUUAGGGCCGGCCGGGCGCCAGCCGGCGUCUCCAACCUUCUAUUUUACCAGGUUGACCUCGGAUCAGGUAGGGAUACCCGCUGAACUUAAGCAUAUCAAUAAGCGGAGGA